rnacentral:rRNA from 1 species
AUAAUGGGUCAGCGACUUAUAUUCUGUAGCAAGGUUAACCGAAUAGGGGAGCCGAAGGGAAACCGAGUCUUAACUGGGCGUUAAGUUGCAGGGUAUAGACCCGAAACCCGGUGAUCUAGCCAUGGGCAGGUUGAAGGUUGGGUAACACUAACUGGAGGACCGAACCGACUAAUGUUGAAAAAUUAGCGGAUGACUUGUGGCUGGGGGUGAAAGGCCAAUCAAACCGGGAGAUAGCUGGUUCUCCCCGAAAGCUAUUUAGGUAGCGCCUCGUGAAUUCAUCUCCGGGGGUAGAGCACUGUUUCGGCAAGGGGGUCAUCCCGACUUACCAACCCGAUGCAAACUGCGAAUACCGGAGAAUGUUAUCACGGGAGACACACGGCGGGUGCUAACGUCCGUCGUGAAGAGGGAAACAACCCAGACCGCCAGCUAAGGUCCCAAAGUCAUGGUUAAGUGGGAAACGAUGUGGGAAGGCCCAGACAGCCAGGAUGUUGGCUUAGAAGCAGCCAUCAUUUAAAGAAAGCGUAAUAGCUCACUGGUCGAGUCGGCCUGCGCGGAAGAUGUAACGGGGCUAAACCAUGCACCGAAGCUGCGGCAGCGACGCUUAUGCGUUGUUGGGUAGGGGAGCGUUCUGUAAGCCUGCGAAGGUGUGCUGUGAGGCAUGCUGGAGGUAUCAGAAGUGCGAAUGCUGACAUAAGUAACGAUAAAGCGGGUGAAAAGCCCGCUCGCCGGAAGACCAAGGGUUCCUGUCCAACGUUAAUCGGGGCAGGGUGAGUCGACCCCUAAGGCGAGGCCGAAAGGCGUAGUCGAUGGGAAACAGGUUAAUAUUCCUGUACUUGGUGUUACUGCGAAGGGGGGACGGAGAAGGCUAUGUUGGCCGGGCGACGGUUGUCCCGGUUUAAGCGUGUAGGCUGGUUUUCCAGGCAAAUCCGGAAAAUCAAGGCUGAGGCGUGAUGACGAGGCACUACGGUGCUGAAGCAACAAAUGCCCUGCUUCCAGGAAAAGCCUCUAAGCAUCAGGUAACAUCAAAUCGUACCCCAAACCGACACAGGUGGUCAGGUAGAGAAUACCAAGGCGCUUGAGAGAACUCGGGUGAAGGAACUAGGCAAAAUGGUGCCGUAACUUCGGGAGAAGGCACGCUGAUAUGUAGGUGAAGUCCCUCGCGGAUGGAGCUGAAAUCAGUCGAAGAUACCAGCUGGCUGCAACUGUUUAUUAAAAACACAGCACUGUGCAAACACGAAAGUGGACGUAUACGGUGUGACGCCUGCCCGGUGCCGGAAGGUUAAUUGAUGGGGUCAGCGCAAGCGAAGCUCUUGAUCGAAGCCCCGGUAAACGGCGGCCGUAACUAUAACGGUCCUAAGGUAGCGAAAUUCCUUGUCGGGUAAGUUCCGACCUGCACGAAUGGCGUAAUGAUGGCCAGGCUGUCUCCACCCGAGACUCAGUGAAAUUGAACUCGCUGUGAAGAUGCAGUGUACCCGCGGCAAGACGGAAAGACCCCGUGAACCUUUACUAUAGCUUGACACUGAACAUUGAGCCUUGAUGUGUAGGAUAGGUGGGAGGCUUUGAAGUGUGGACGCCAGUCUGCAUGGAGCCGACCUUGAAAUACCACCCUUUAAUGUUUGAUGUUCUAACGUUGACCCGUAAUCCGGGUUGCGGACAGUGUCUGGUGGGUAGUUUGACUGGGGCGGUCUCCUCCUAAAGAGUAACGGAGGAGCACGAAGGUUGGCUAAUCCUGGUCGGACAUCAGGAGGUUAGUGCAAUGGCAUAAGCCAGCUUGACUGCGAGCGUGACGGCGCGAGCAGGUGCGAAAGCAGGUCAUAGUGAUCCGGUGGUUCUGAAUGGAAGGGCCAUCGCUCAACGGAUAAAAGGUACUCCGGGGAUAACAGGCUGAUACCGCCCAAGAGUUCAUAUCGACGGCGGUGUUUGGCACCUCGAUGUCGGCUCAUCACAUCCUGGGGCUGAAGUAGGUCCCAAGGGUAUGGCUGUUCGCCAUUUAAAGUGGUACGCGAGCUGGGUUUAGAACGUCGUGAGACAGUUCGGUCCCUA